GACGAACGCUGGCGGCGUGCCUAAUACAUGCAAGUCGACCUUAUUUUCGAACUGGUCAGUAACACCUCGGUAACCUGCCCAUCAGACCCGGAUAACACUUGGAAACACCUGCUAUUACCGUAUACUGUUGGAUGGACCCGCGGUGCAUUAGCUAGUUGUGUGGGUAACGGCUCACCAAGGCCACGAUGCAUAGCCGACCUGAGAGGAUGACCGGCCACAUGGGAACUGAGACACGGCCCAAACUCCUACGGGAGGCAGCAGUAGGUAAUCUUCGGAAAUGGACGAAAGUCUGACCGAGCAACGCCGCGUGAGUGAAGAAGGUUUUCGGAUCGUAAAACACUGUUGUUGGAGAAGCGGUAUCUAAAGAGAAAGCAACGGCUAACUACGUGCCAGCCGCCGCGGUAAUUG
rnacentral:rRNA from 1 species